UACGUAGGGUGCGAGCGUUGUCCGGAAUUAUUGGGCGUAAAGAGCUCGUAGGCGGUCUGUCGCGUCGGUCGUGAAAACUUGGGGCUUAACCCUGAGCUUGCGGUCGAUACGGGCAUGACUGGAGUUCGGUAGGGGAGACUGGAAUCCUGGUGUAGCGGUGAAAUGCGCAGAUAUCAGGAGGAACACCGGUGGCGAAGGCGGGUCUCUGGGCCGAUACUGACGCUGAGGCACGAAAGCGUGGGAGCAAACAGG
rnacentral:rRNA from 1 species